rnacentral:lncRNA from 1 species
CUGCUGCUGCUGGCUGCUCCCCUCGUUUCUUUUUUUUGUCUGUUUUUCUGGAAAUUGAAUUUGAAAAAAAUCAACCUCAAAGAUUUGAAACUUAUUAAUGCGACAAGAACGAAGGCAGGCCGCACAACUCAGCAUCUCAGCAUCGCAGACAAUUUAAUAUCUUUGGGAUCCCUUUGAGCUUAUACCGAUUUCUGGAACUACGGAUGAAUGCAGCGAGCGGUAGCACACAAAAUGUCAGCAAUCCGGAGAGGCUACGAGAGAGAGCGGUCGAACAAUCACAUUUUCCUUGUGUGUGUAUGUGCGGAUUUCAAUGUGACAGCUACCAAUAUUAACAUAUUUUAAAUCACCAACUCUGAGGAAUACCAACGCAAC